CCUACGGGUGGCAGCAGUCGAGAAUCAUUCACAAUGGGGGAAACCCUGAUGGUGCGACGCCGCGUGGGGGAAUGAAGGUCUUCGGAUUGUAAACCCCUGUCAUGUGGGAGCAAAUUAAAAAGAUAGUACCACAAGAGGAAGAGACGGCUAACUCUGUGCCAGCAGCCGCGGUAAUACAGAGGUCUCAAGCGUUGUUCGGAACCACUGGGCGUAAAGCGUGCGUAGGCUGUUUCGUAAGUCGUGUGUGAAAGGCGCGGGCUCAACCCGCGGACGGCACAUGAUACUGCGAGACUAGAGUAAGGGAGGGGGAACCGGAAUUCUCGGUGUAGCAGUGAAAUGCGUAGAUAUCGAGAGGAACACUCGUGGCGAAGGCGGGUUCCUGGACAGUAACUGACGCUGAGGCACGAAGGCCAGGGGAGCGAAAGGGAUUAGAUACCCGAGUAGUC
rnacentral:rRNA from 1 species